GCCUACGGGAGGCAGCAGUAGGGAAUCUUCCGCAAUGGACGAAAGUCUGACGGAGCAACGCCGCGUGAGCGAAGAAGGCCUUCGGGUUGUAAAGCUCUGUUGUUAGGGAAGAACAAGUACCGGAGUCACUGCCGGUACCUUGACGGUACCUAACCAGAAAGCCACGGCUAACUACGUGCCAGCAGCCGCGGUAAUACGUAGGUGGCAAGCGUUGUCCGGAAUUAUUGGGCGUAAAGCGCGCGCAGGCGGUCCUUUAAGUCUGAUGUGAAAGCCCACGGCUCAACCGUGGAGGGUCAUUGGAAACUGGGGGACUUGAGUGCAGAAGAGGAGAGUGGAAUUCCACGUGUAGCGGUGAAAUGCGUAGAGAUGUGGAGGAACACCAGUGGCGAAGGCGACUCUCUGGUCUGUAACUGACGCUGAGGCGCGAAAGCGUGGGGAGCGAACAGGAUUAGAUACCCUGGUAGUCCACGCCGUAAACGAUGAGUGCUAAGUGUUAGAGGGUUCCGCCCCUUAGUGCUGCAGC
rnacentral:rRNA from 1 species